CGCUGUGAAGAUGCAGUGUACCCGCGGCAAGACGGAAAGACCCCGUGAACCUUUACUAUAGCUUGACACUGAACAUUGAGCCUUGAUGUGUAGGAUAGGUGGGAGGCUUUGAAGUGUGGACGCCAGUCUGCAUGGAGCCGACCUUGAAAUACCACCCUUUAAUGUUUGAUGUUCUAACGUGGACCCGUAAUCCGGGUUGCGGACAGUGUCUGGUGGGUAGUUUGACUGGGGCGGUCUCCUCCUAAAGAGUAACGGAGGAGCACGAAGGUUGGCUAAUCCUGGUCGGACAUCAGGAGGUUAGUGCAAUGGCAUAAGCCAGCUUGACUGCGAGCGUGACGGCGCGAGCAGGUGCGAAAGCAGGUCAUAGUGAUCCGGUGGUUCUGAAUGGAAGGGCCAUCGCUCAACGGAUAAAAGGUACUCCGGGGAUAACAGGCUGAUACCGCCCAAGAGUUCAUAUCGACGGCGGUGUUUGGCACCUCGAUGUCGGCUCAUCACAUCCUGGGGCUGAAGUAGGUCCCAAGGGUAUGGCUGUUCGCCAUUUAAAGUGGUACGCGAGCUGGGUUUAGAACGUCGUGAGACAGUUCGGUCCCUAUCUGCCGUGGGCGCUGGAGAACUGAGGGGGGCUGCUCCUAGUACGAGAGGACCGGAGUGGACGCAUCACUGGUGUUCGGGUUGUCAUGCCAAUGGCACUGCCCGGUAGCUAAAUGCGGAAGAGAUAAGUGCUGAAAGCAUCUAAGCACGAAACUUGCCCCGAGAUGAGUUCUCCCUGAGACUUAG
rnacentral:rRNA from 1 species